rnacentral:rRNA from 8 species
UAUAAGCAAUCUAUACUGUGAAACUGCGAAUGGCUCAUUAAAUCAGUUAUCGUUUAUUUGAUAGUACCUUACUACUUGGAUAACCGUGGUAAUUCUAGAGCUAAUACAUGCUAAAAACCCCGACUUCGGAAGGGGUGUAUUUAUUAGAUAAAAAACCAAUGCCCUUCGGGGCUCCUUGGUGAUUCAUGAUAACUUAACGAAUCGCAUGGCCUUGCGCCGGCGAUGGUUCAUUCAAAUUUCUGCCCUAUCAACUUUCGAUGGUAGGAUAGUGGCCUACCAUGGUAUCAACGGGUAACGGGGAAUUAGGGUUCUAUUCCGGAGAGGGAGCCUGAGAAACGGCUACCACAUCCAAGGAAGGCAGCAGGCGCGCAAAUUACCCAAUCCCGACACGGGGAGGUAGUGACAAUAAAUACUGAUACAGGGCUCUUUUGGGUCUUGUAAUUGGAAUGAGUACAAUUUAAAUACCUUAACGAGGAACAAUUGGAGGGCAAGUCUGGUGCCAGCAGCCGCGGUAAUUCCAGCUCCAAUAGCGUAUAUUAAAGUUGUUGCAGUUAAAAAGCUCGUAGUUGAACCUUGGGCCUGGCUGGCCGGUCCGCCUCACCGCGUGUACUGGUCCGGCCGGGCCUUUCCUUCUGGGGAUCCUCAUGCCCUUCACUGGGUGUGCUGGGGAACCAGGACUUUUACUUUGAAAAAAUUAGAGUGUUCAAAGCAGGCCUUUGCUCGAAUACAUUAGCAUGGAAUAAUAGAAUAGGACGUGCGGUCCUAUUUUGUUGGUUUCUAGGACCGCCGUAAUGAUUAAUAGGGAUAGUCGGGGGCAUCAGUAUUCAAUUGUCAGAGGUGAAAUUCUUGGAUUUAUUGAAGACUAACUACUGCGAAAGCAUUUGCCAAGGAUGUUUUCAUUAAUCAGUGAACGAAAGUUAGGGGAUCGAAGACGAUCAGAUACCGUCGUAGUCUUAACCGUAAACUAUGCCGACUAGGGAUCGGGCGAUGUUAUUCUUUUGACUCGCUCGGCACCUUACGAGAAAUCAAAGUCUUUGGGUUCU